rnacentral:rRNA from 1 species
GCGAUAGCGGAGGGGUUCCACACGUACCCAUCCCGAACACGACCGUUAAGCCCUCCAGCGCCGAUGGUACUUGGACUGCAGGGUCCUGGGAGAGUAGGACGUUGCCA